rnacentral:rRNA from 1 species
GACGGGCCCGCACAAGCAGCGGAGCGUGUGGUUUAAUUCGUUGCUACACGAAGAACCUUACCUGGGUUGACAUAAUGGUGGUAGGGAUCCGAAAGGUGACCGACCUUCGGGGAGCCAUUACAGGUGUUGCAUGGCUGUCGUCAGCUCGUGUCGUGAGAUGUUCGGUUAAGUCCGCUAACGAGCGCAACCCUCGCUGUGUGUUAUAUGUGUCACACAGGACUGCUGGUAUUAAGCCGGAGGAAGGUGGGAUGACGUCAAGUCCUCAUGGCCUUUAUGUCUAGGGCUACACACGUACUACAAUGGCCGGUACAAAGGGCAGCCACUCAGCGAUGAGGCGCUAAUCCCAUAAAGCCGGUCUCAGUCCGGAUCGCAGUCUGCAACUCGACUGCGUGAAGUUGGAAUCGCUAGUAAUCGUAGAUCAGCAUGCUACGGUGAAUACGUUCCCGGGCCUU